AGAGCGAACGCUGGCGGCAGGCCUAAUACAUGCAAGUCGAACGGACCCUUCGGGGUUAGUGGCGGACGGGUGAGUAACACGUGGGAACGUGCCCUUUGGUUCGGAACAACUCAGGGAAACUUGAGCUAAUACCGAAUGUGCCCUUUGGGGGAAAGAUUUAUCGCCAUUGGAGCGGCCCGCGUCUGAUUAGCUAGUUGGUGAGGUAAAGGCUCACCAAGGCGACGAUCAGUAGCUGGUCUGAGAGGAUGAUCAGCCACACUGGGACUGAGACACGGCCCAGACUCCUACGGGAGGCAGCAGUAGGGAAUCUUGCGCAAUGGGCGAAAGCCUGACGCAGCCAUGCCGCGUGAAUGAUGAAGGUCUUAGGAUUGUAAAAUUCUUUCAGCGGGGACGAUAAUGACGGUACCCGCAGAAGAACGCCCGGCUAACUUCGCGCCAGCAGCCGC
rnacentral:rRNA from 1 species